rnacentral:rRNA from 1 species
ACACGGACCAAGGAGUGCAACAUGCGUGCGAGUCCGCGGGUGGCAAACCCGUCGGCGCAAUGAAAGUGAAGGCAGGCGUCUGGCCUGCUGUGGCGAGAGCCCUCCUCUCCGGGGGGGCGCAUCGUCGACCGAUCCCAGGCUACGCUGUGGCGGGAUUUGAGUGAGAGCGUGCCUGUUGCGACCCGAAAGAUGGUGAACUAUGCCUGAAUAGGGUGAAGCCAGAGGAAACUCUGGUGGAAGCUCGUAGCGAUUCUGACGUGCAAAUCGAUCGUCAAAUUUGGGUAUAGGGGCGAAAGACUAAUCGAACCAUCUAGUAGCUGGUUCCCUCCGAAGUUUCCCUCAGGAUAGCUGGAGCCCGGUGCAGUUUUAUCAGGUAAAGCGAAUGAUUAGAGGUCUUGGGGCUGAAACAGCUUCAACCUAUUCUCAAACUUUAAAUGGGUAAGAAGCCCGGCUUGCUCGGUUGAAGUCGGGCGCAGAAUGCCGGGGCUCCUAGUGGGCCAUUUUUGGUAAGCAGAACUGGCGAUGUGGGAUGAACCAAAUGCCGGGUUAAGGUGCCUGAAUCGACGCUCAUCAGAUCCCAUGAAAGGUGUUGGUUGAUACUGACAGCAGGACGGUGGCCAUGGAAGUCGGAAUCCGCUAAGGAGUGUGUAACAACU